rnacentral:rRNA from 1 species
GACAGAGGGUGCAAACGUUGUUCGGAAUUACUGGGCGUAAAGCGCAUGUAGGCGGCAACGCAAGUCGGGCGUGAAAUCCCACGGCUCAACCCGUGGAAGUGCACUCGAAACUGCGUAGCUAGAGUCCUGGAGAGGAAGGUGGAAUGCUUGGUGUAGAGGUGAAAUUCGUAGAUAUCAAGCGGAACACCGGUGGACGAAGGCG